rnacentral:rRNA from 1 species
GAACCCGCACAAGCGGUGGAGCAUGUGGUUUAAUUCGACGGUAAACGGAUAACCUCACCAAGGCUUGAAAUCCCUAGAAUCCCGAAGAAACUCGGGAGUGCCGCAAGGAACUAGGUGACAGGUGCUGCAUGGUUGUCGUCAGCUCGUGUCGUGAGAUGUCGGGUUAAGUCCUUUAACGAGCGCAACCCUCAUCCUAAUUUACAAUUCAUUAGGAAACUGCCUCGGAUAACGAGGAGGAAGGCGAGGAUGACGUCAAAUCAGCAUGGCUCUUACGCCUUGGGCCACACACGUGCUACAAUGGCCGGUACAAUGGGUCGCCAAGUCGCAAGACGGAGCAAAUCCCAUCAAAACCGGUCUCAGUUCGGAUUGAAGUCUGCAACUCGACUUCAUGAAGCUGGAAUCGCUAGUAAACGCGUAUCAUUUACGGCGCGUUGAAUACGUUCUCGGGUUUU